CUACGGGUGGCUCCAGUGGGUAAUAUUGCACAAUGGGCGCAAGCCUGAUGCAGCCAUGCCGCGUGUAUGAAGAAGGCCUUCGGGUUGUAAAGUACUUUCAGCGGGGAGGAAGGGAGUAAAGUUAAUACCUUUGCUCAUUGACGUUACCCGCAGAAGAAGCACCGGCUAACUCCGUGCCACGCAGCCGCGGUAAUACGGAGGGUGCAAGCGUUAAUCGGAAUUACUGGGCGUAAAGCGCACGCAGGCGGUUUGUUAAGUCAGAUGUGAAAUCCCCGGGCUCAACCUGGGAACUGCAUCUGAUACUGGCAAGCUUGAGUCUCGUAGAGGGGGGUAGAAUUCCAGGUGUAGCGGUGAAAUGCGUAGAGAUCUGGAGGAAUACCGGUGGCGAAGGCGGCCCCCUGGACGAAGACUGACGCUCAGGUGCGAAAGCGUGGGGAGCAAACAGGAUUAGAUACCCCCGUAGUC
rnacentral:rRNA from 1 species